rnacentral:rRNA from 1 species
UACAGAGGUCCCAAGCGUUGUUCGGAUUCAUUGGGCGUAAAGGGUGCGUAGGCGGCUCGGUCAGUCGGGUGUGAAAUCCCUGGGCUCAACCUGGGAACUGCAUUCGAUACUGCCGAGCUAGAGUGUGGGAGAGGGUGGUGGAAUUCCCGGUGUAGCGGUGAAAUGCGUAGAUAUCGGGAGGAACAUCAGUGGCGAAGGCGACCGCCUGGCCCAACACUGACGCUGAGGUGCGAAAGCGUGGGUAGCAAACAGG